rnacentral:rRNA from 1 species
UACGUAGGGUGCGAGCGUUAAUCGGAAUUUCUGGGCGUAACGCGUGCGCAGGCGGUUCGUUAAGUUCGAUGUGAAAGCCCCGGGCUCAACCUGGGAACUGCAUUGGAAACUGGCGAGCUUGAAUGCGGCAGAGGGGGGUGGAAUUCCGCGUGUAGCAGUGAAAUGCGUAGAGAUGCGGAGGAACACCGAUGGCGAAGGCAGCCCCCUGGGCUAACACUGACGCUCAUGCACGAAAGCGUGGGGAGCAAACAGG